rnacentral:rRNA from 1 species
UACGUAGGUGACCAGCGUUGUCCGGAUUUACUGGGCGUAACGAGCGCGCAGGCGGUCGUUCAAGUCGAGUGUGAAAGCCCCCGGCUCAACUGGGGAGGGUCACUCGAUACUGAUCGACUGGAAGGCAGGAGAGGGAAGCGGAAUUCCCGGUGUAGUGGUGAAAUGCGUAGAUAUCGGGAGGAACACCAGUGGCGAAGGCGGCUUCCUGGCCUGUUCUUGACGCUGAGGCGCGAAAGCUAGGGGAGCAAACGGG